AUGGGCUUCAUCCACAGAAGCAUGGACAUGCUGACAAAGGGCAAAAUCCGACACAACAUAGGCAUCGAUAUCAAAGACAUCAAGAGCCGCAUCAAGGAGGUCAGUGAGCGGCGUGAAAGGUACAAGGUUGACAGUGUUGUGCCCAAGCCCACCAGCACAAGUACUGAUACCCUUCGCCAGUUAGCUUUGUUCAAAAAGGUGACAGAGCUUAUUGGCACCGAAGGGAGGAGCCUUGACAUAGUCAGGAUGGUAAUGGAGGGAGACGAGAUGAUAAAGAAACAACUGAAGCUGGUCUCUAUUGUUGGCUUUGGAGGCUUAGGGAAGACAACUAUUGCUAAUGUGGUGUAUGAGAAGCUUCGUGGGGACUUCGAUUGUCGAGCUUUUGUUUCCGUCUCUCUUAAUCUUGACAUGAAGAAACUUUUCACGAGUUUGCUCCAUCAACUUGGCAAGGGAAAGUACAAUAACAUCAUGGACGAGUCAGCGUGGAGCGAGACACAACUCAUAAGUGAGAUAAGAGAAUUCCUCCGAAACAAGAGGUAUUUCAUUGUUAUUGACGACAUAUGGGAUAAAUCUGCAUGGAGAAGUAUUAGAUGUGCUUUGACUGAGAAUGGAUGUGGUAGUAGAGUAAUCAUAACAACUCGCAUUCUGGAUGUUGGCAAAGAAGUUAGUGAUGUUUAUCAGCUUAAACCACUUUCUGCUAGUGACUCAAGAAUAUUAUUCUACCAAAGAAUAUUUGGAACUGGAGACAAGUGUCCUCCUGUUCAGUUGGCUGAAAUAAGUGAGAGCAUUUUACGGAAAUGUGGUGGGGUACCAUUAGCUAUCAUUACAAUGGCUAGUGUGUUGGCUAGUAAAAAGGAACAUCAAAAUACAUACACGUAUUGGUCAAAGGUGUACCAAUAUAUGGGUUCUGGGCUAGAAAAUAAUCCUGACCUGAUGGACAUGAGAAGGAUACUAUACAUCAGUUACUAUGAUCUAUCUCCAAAGAUUAAGGCUUGUUUACUGUAUCUCAGUUUGUAUCCAGAGAAUUAUGAUAUUAAAACCAAAGAGUUGAUAUGGAAGUGGAUAGGUGAAGGAUUUGUUCGUGAAGAGCAAGGGAAGAGCUAG
rnacentral:rRNA from 1 species